rnacentral:rRNA from 1 species
CUUGCUAAGUUUGAUGGCGACCGGCGCACGGGUGAGUAACACGUAUCCAACCUGCCGAUGACUCGGGGGUAGCCUUUCGAAAGAAAGAUUAAUACCCGAUGGCAUAGUUCUUCCGCAUGGUGGAACUAUUAAAGAAUUUCGGUCAUCGAUGGGGAUGCGUUCCAUUAGGUUGUUGGCGGGGUAACGGCCCACCAAGCCUUCGAUGGAUAGGGGUUCUGAGAGGAAGGUCCCCCACAUUGGAACUGAGACACGGUCCAAACUCCUACGGGAGGCAGCAUG